UGAAGGAGGAUACUCUUGGGUCUA
rnacentral:siRNA from 1 species